GUAACGUUGUGUUUUCUCAAUGCACUUCAUUCAGAUUUUAUCUCGUCCCAUAUCGCAGUUAAUCGGCACGGUUUUCAUGCAAGAGCACGGAAGAAAGGCUGAGAAGAAAAGUAAUUGAACUGGCUUGUCAACACUACGCAUCCCCUGUCAAAGUGGCGAGGCAGGUUUGCUCAUUGAAAGAAGCAAAUAUUGAGAAAGGGAUGAAACGGUUCCUAAGAGCUUCGCAGCACCGCAGUUCACUGCCCGAAACCCACCCCAUCAGUCAGCUGACUAAAGGUGCUUCACUCUGGCUGAUGGUCUCUGCGGUCUCGAAUGCUGAGUCACAGAAGCAGGAAUUCCUUGUGCGCCCUCUGCUGGUGGCUUGGCGCGACUACAUCUCGAUGGUGGCUGCGAGGCGGAGACAGAGAGCCGCUUCGGUUGGCAGGUCUUCCCGGCUGAUCUCGUUCCCGUCCAGCCUCAGCACCUUCAGGUGCGAGAAGUGCACCAUGUCCACCACACUGCACAGGCUGCCCAACGUGAACUCUGAGAAGACAUUUAAGAUUAAUCGCAAAAAGGGAAACCCAAAACUUAAUUUGAUGUAAAAACAAAUACGAGAAAACCUAAGAAGACUAUAUGAAACGGGUGACUUUUUAACCAUGUUUUAAGCUUGAUAACCUUGAAAAAAAGGGUCAGUCACAUUAAUACAGUUGGACUUUACAGGUGAAAAUAUAAGGAAUGUAUUUUGUUGUUGUAAAAAUAUUUCACAGUUUGCAAGUUAAGAGAUUAUUACCAGUACAUACAAGGAAAAAAAAUUGUACAAGAACACAGGGCUGCAGUUAUGCAUUCUCAGGCAUAGGACAAAAUUGAGAUGCAUUAUGUAACAAAUUAAGAAUAAUUACAUCCUGUAUCCUGCCCCCCCCCCCCCCCCCCCCCCCCCCCAGGCCUUUGGACAAAGUGUCCCAGCUUUCCAGCUCUACCUGUGGCCCAGCUUAAACCUCUAUUCAUGUGCAAUCUUAACUUCUCCCAACAAACACCUUUGUGUGUCUGAAAUUCUGAGUUACCUGCUCCUGUCCAAAACCAAUUUCAGAGGUAGUUUUAAAGC